rnacentral:rRNA from 1 species
AUUGAACGCUAGCGGGAUGCCUCACACAUGCAAGUCGAACGGAGUGUCGAACGGGUGAGUAAUGUAUCGGAACGUGCCCAGUAGCGGGGGAUAACUACGCGAAAGCGUAGCUAAUACCGCAUACUAUUGGAGCUGCCUAUAUCCGAUUAGCUUGUUGGUGGGGUAACGGCUCACCUAGGCGACGACCCGUAGCUGGUUUGAGAGGACGACCAGCCACAAUGAGACUGAGACACGGCCCAGACUCCUACGGGAGGCAGCAGUGGGGAAUUUUGGACAAUGGGGGAAACCCUGAUCCAGCCAUGCCGCGUGUGCGAAGAAGGCCUUCGGGUUGUAAAGCACUUUUGGCAGGAAAGCGGUACCUGCAGAAUAAGCACCGGCUAAAUACGUGCCAGCAGCCGCGGUAAUUC